rnacentral:rRNA from 1 species
ACGGCUCAGUAACACGUGGACAACCUGCCCUUAGGACGGGGAUAAACCCGGGAAACUGGGUAUAAUACCCGAUAGGUCUCGAUUGCUGGAAUGCAUCGAGAUUUAAAGCUCCGGCGCCUAAGGAUGGGUCUGCGGCCUAUCAGGUAGUAGUGGGUGUAGCGUACCUACUAGCCUACGACGGGUACGGGUUGUGAGAGCAAGAGCCCGGAGAUGGAUUCUGAGACACGAAUCCAGGCCCUACGGGGUGCAGCAGGCGCGAAAACUUUACAAUGCUGGCAACAGCGAUAAGGGAACCUCGAGUGCCAGGUUACAAAUCUGGCUGUCGAGAUGCCUAAAAAGCAUUUCAUAGCAAGGGCCGGGCAAGACCGGUGCCAGCCGCCGCGGUAACACCGGCGGCUCGAGUGGUAACCGUUAUUAUUGGGUCUAAAGGGUCUGCAGCCGGCCGGAUAAGUCUCUUGAGAAAUCUGGCAGCUUAACUGUCAGGCUUUCAGGAGAUACUGUCUGGCUCGAGGCCGGGAGAGGUGAGAGGUACUUCAGGGGUAGGGGUGAAAUCUUGUAAUCCUUGAAGGACCACCAGUGGCGAAGGCGUCUCACCAGAACGGACCUGACGGCAAGGGACGAAAGCUAGGGGCACGAACCGGAUUAGAUACCCGGGUAGUCCUAGCCGUAAACGAUACUCGCUAGGUGUCGGCCACGGUGCGACCGUUGUCGGUGCCGUAGGGAAGCCGUGAAGCGAGCCACCUGGGAAGUACGGCCGCAAGGCUGAAACUUAAAGGAAUUGGCGGGGGAGCAC